CCCUUAGAUGUUCUGGGCCGCACGCGCGCUACACUGAUGCAUUCAACGAGCCUAUCCUUGACCGACAGGUCCGGGUAAUCUUUGAAUCUGCAUCGUGACGGGGAUAGAUUAUUGCAAUUAUUAAUCUUCAACGAGGAAUGCCUAGUAGGCGCAAGUCAUCAGCUUGCGUCGAUUACGUCCCUGCCCUUUGUACACACCGCCCGUCGCUCCUACCGAUUGGGUGUGCUGGUGAAAUGUUCGGAUCGGCCGUUUGUCGCGGUUUCCGCGUCAUGUGGCUGAGAAGUUCAUUAAACCCUCCCACCUAGAGGAAGGAGAAGCCGUAACA
rnacentral:rRNA from 1 species